UGUGAGGCGGAUGGGUUGGUCCAGCUCUGACCCUCCAUCAUCUUACACCUCUCUACCACGCUCAGAACCCACUCCACUUGGCAGAGGUGAAUGUGCCAAUGCCUCUAGAAUGCCAGGCACCCUAAAAUUCCAGGCCUGCCAGACACCCCGAAUUUCAAGGCGCAGCCCUGGUCCCCCAAGGCUUUGACAGCCAGGAAGAGGAGACAGGAGCCUGGAGCUUGGCUCUUUUUCCUUGGCAAAUUCUGGGGCACAGGACAGAAAGCGGAAAUAGGAAGAGACCACACCAUCCAAGCUGAGGCUUUGGGACCAAAAGGGACCCUGGGAAUCUCGAGGUCCAACUGUCUACACUUUAUGGAUGGAGACACUCGGGCCGAGAAGGGAGAAGUGAGGUCGCCCAGUGAUGUAGGAGCAGAGCAAGCACCGGGCACCGGUCCCCGGCUCGCCCAUCCCACCAGGCUGGCCCCUACUGCAGGAUUUUUGCUGUGAAAACCAGUGUUCUGACAUCAGAAGGCACAUCCUCUGCAAAUGUAGAUUUCUGAGCAAACACGCCCGUGAGAAGGUCAGCAGCAAGUUCCCGCAUGGGUGGUGACACACGGACGAGGAUUUGGUUCUUUGAGGGACCCCCAGCCCUGUUGCUGACAUUUUUUCUUUCUCCAAGCUCCUGGUUGGCGAAUCAGAUAAUUCAUCACUUGAUUCUGGUGACCUCUAGUGGACGCACUUUAAAAGCAAUAUUCAGGUCUCAAGUAAAGGGACAGAGCUCAGACAAGUGUCCCGGAAGCAGUUUAUCCAGAGCUGGGCUUCUCAGACUCUCAGGUGCCUGCCAAAGAUCUGGGAAGAUUAGGAACCCGCGGCGUCCGGCCCCGGUAGGCCUGAAGUCUGGCUCAGAGAUGGUUUCAGCUCCGCUCGGCGGGAGGCACCCCUGGGCACGCUGCAGAAGCGCAGUCACCGUUCCUGCAGUCCCAGGGCACCAUAGUCCCCUCGUGAGCCCCAUCACCCCAAGCGAUUUAGUUCCUGGGGUAUGUUCUGCGGACGUGCCUGGCCUGGAGGGCCUCCCAUGACCCCAUCUGGAGGGAGUCAAAUUUCAGGUGCGGGGUGUGGAGGGGAGGGGCGUCUGGGAGGAGGCUCAAAGAAGCGACUGAGCCUCCCUGGCCUCUCUGCACCCCGGCUGCCCCAACUGCAUUAUCUCCCCCCAACACCCCCCUGCCAGCCCUGGGAUUCGACCUAGGACAGUGGCAUAGGGUUCUGCAAGCGCCAGUUCACUGGGUGGAGCUUGAGAAACCCAAACCCCACCCUGAACCCCAAGGUGCAUGGGGAAUGGGCUCGGACAUGGGGACAGGCAACCUACCUCAGCACGUGUGUGGGACCUGUCAGGCGUCCAUAAGGCGUUAUGGUCACCAUACGUCCCAGGACGGAUCCUGGCAGAGCGAUUGUCAGUAACCAUGGGAAUAACUCGUGGAGAGGCCCUGCAGUGGGCAGGCGCCAGGCAGCCCCUUUGCUCUUUGCAGUAACCCCACCAGGUGUGGAUAGCCCCGUUUUACAGAUCAGAAAAGAGAGGCCCAGGGAGGAAGUGCCUUGCUGAGUUCCUCAGUUGCUAAGUGGGGUAACAUUUGGGUUUGGGUGUGUUUGGCAUUCAGACUUGAAGUAUUAGAUCCCGGCUAGUCUGGCUCCUUCGUGGCGAGUGGGGAAACAGAGAUGAAGGGAUGGGCUCUGGGGCCCGCAGGCGUUCAGAGGCAGAGCUGAGGCCAGAAUCAACACUGCCCACCGUCCCCAGGUAAAUCCUUCCACCGGCCACCUGAGGAGGCCCUCCCUCACCUCCUGGACCCCUGGGCCCACUCCUCCUCACCCGGGACCUGCCCUGGCCUGCUUCUAUUGGUUGUUUUGUGAAAACGUCGGGGUCUCAGACUCUGGCACCUGGGGACAACUCAGGAGCGACAACCCAUCUUCCGUGUGUCCUGGGGAAGUCCAUCUGCUCCAGGUGAUGAAAUGAAGGGACUGAGGAGACGAGCCACACAGCCAGCGAGGCAUUCAUGUUACGGCAGCCAUGUCAAACACGGGACGUCCAGUUAAGUUGGAAUUUCAGAUGAACAAUAAUUUUUCCAUAUAAGUAUGUCCCAAAUAUGUAAGGGACAUACUUAUCCUCAAGGUUAUUUGUUGUUUAUCUGAAUUCAAAUUUGACUGGUGUCCUGUAUUUUUAUUGCUUAAUCUGGCCAUUCUCUUCCUGGUCUAAUGUGGACAUUCUCAAUCACUCAGCAAGGUUUGCGGAGCCUGCACCGGGGAGCAGCCUCUGUUUGGAGGCUCUCUGGUCCAGAUGGAAAGAUGGAGAAUGAGAUGGCCAUGGGCUGCAGACAAGGGUGUUUGCACCUGAACGCACAGGCCACAGCAGCCGCCUGCUAUACUCCCUCACCCGCGUGGCCACGCCUCCCUGCCCGUAUGCCUGUGCCCCCUUCUUUGCCUACAGAGUUUGUGACUGUCCCUCUGGGCCCAGCUGAAAUGCCCCUUCCUCUGUCACGUCCUUCUAGAAGCUCACUUCUCCUUGGCCGAAGUGGGACAGCAUCAGCACCAUGUUCAGGUUCUCAGACUCCUCCAGGACGACCCUGUCGGUCUUCAGGCCCACCAGCUCCACCUCCAGCCUCUGCCGCUGGUUCUGAAAGGAACACCAAGGUGUUCACUGCCAGCUGGCCCUUGGUUGAGAGCAAGACAUUCCAAUGGAAUGAAUGAAUGAAUGAAUGAAUAAACAA
ensembl:lncRNA